GAUGAAGAACGCAGCGAAAUGCGAUAAGUAAUGUGAAUUGCAGAAUUCAGUGAAUCAUCGAAUCUUUGAACGCACAUUGCGCCCGCUAGUAUUCUGGCGGGCAUGCCUGUCCGAGCGUCAUUUCAACCCUCAAGCCCCCGGGCUUGGUGUUGGGGAUCGGCGAGCCUCCGCGCCCGCCGUCCCCUAAAUCUAGUGGCGGUCUCGCUGUAGCUUCCUCUGCGUAGUAGCACACCUCGCACUGGGAAACAGCGCGGCCACGCCGUUAAACCCCCAACUUCUGAACGUUUGACCUCGGAUCAGGUAGGAAUACCCCCUGAACUUAAGCAUAUCAAUAAGCGGGGA
rnacentral:misc_RNA from 1 species